rnacentral:lncRNA from 1 species
UAUACUAUACCAUAUCAUACAGUACCGUACAUUAUGAAACCAUGGCAAACCAUCAUCCAAACAAAGUGUUAUUUGAGAAACAAAAAAGAAUUAAAAAUAAUAAGAAGAAUUUUUAAUUGGAUUUAUCAAAUUGACAUAUGAGGAGCCUUAGCUAAGAUCUUUUCAAGUGCGAGUCAACUAUAAGGGUCUGUUUGUCACGA